AUGAACGCUAGCUACAGGCUUAACACAUGCAAGUCGAGGGGCAGCAUGGUCUUAGCUUGCUAAGGCCGAUGGCGACCGGCGCACGGGUGAGUAACACGUAUCCAACCUGCCGUCUACUCUUGGACAGCCUUCUGAAAGGAAGAUUAAUACAAGAUGGCAUCAUGAGUCCGCAUGUUCACAUGAUUAAAGGUAUUCCGGUAGACGAUGGGGAUGCGUUCCAUUAGAUAGUAGGCGGGGUAACGGCCCACCUAGUCUUCGAUGGAUAGGGGUUCUGAGAGGAAGGUCCCCCACAUUGGAACUGAGACACGGUCCAAACUCCUACGGGAGGCAGCAGUGAGGAAUAUUGGUCAAUGGGCGAGAGCCUGAACCAGCCAAGUAGCGUGAAGGAUGACUGCCCUAUGGGUUGUAAACUUCUUUUAUAAAGGAAUAAAGUCGGGUAUGGAUACCCGUUUGCAUGUACUUUAUGAAUAAGGAUCGGCUAACUCCGUGCCAGCAGCCGCGGUAAUACGGAGGAUCCGAGCGUUAUCCGGAUUUAUUGGGUUUAAAGGGAGCGUAGAUGGAUGUUUAAGUCAGUUGUGAAAGUUUGCGGCUCAACCGUAAAAUUGCAGUUGAUACUGGAUAUCUUGAGUGCAGUUGAGGCAGGCGGAAUUCGUGGUGUAGCGGUGAAAUGCUUAGAUAUCACGAAGAACUCCGAUUGCGAAGGCAGCCUGCUAAGCUGCAACUGACAUUGAGGCUCGAAAGUGUGGGUAUCAAACAGGAUUAGAUACCCUGGUAGUCCACACGGUAAACGAUGAAUACUCGCUGUUUGCGAUAUACUGCAAGCGGCCAAGCGAAAGCGUUAAGUAUUCCGCCUGGGGAGUACGCCGGCAACGGUGAAACUCAAAGGAAUUGACGGGGGCCCGCACAAGCGGAGGAACAUGUGGUUUAAUUCGAUGAUACGCGAGGAACCUUACCCGGGCUUAAAUUGCAGAUGAAUUACGGUGAAAGCCGUAAGCCGCAAGGCAUCUGUGAAGGUGCUGCAUGGUUGUCGUCAGCUCGUGCCGUGAGGUGUCGGCUUAAGUGCCAUAACGAGCGCAACCCUUGUUGUCAGUUACUAACAGGUUCCGCUGAGGACUCUGACAAGACUGCCAUCGUAAGAUGUGAGGAAGGUGGGGAUGACGUCAAAUCAGCACGGCCCUUACGUCCGGGGCUACACACGUGUUACAAUGGGGGGUACAGAGGGCCGCUACCACGCGAGUGGAUGCCAAUCCCCAAAACCUCUCUCAGUUCGGACUGGAGUCUGCAACCCGACUCCACGAAGCUGGAUUCGCUAGUAAUCGCGCAUCAGCCACGGCGCGGUGAAUACGUUCCCGGGCCUUGUACACACCGCCCGUCAAGCCAUGGGAGCCGGGGGUACCUGAAGUGCGUAACCGCGAGGAGCGCCCUAGGGUAAAACUGGUGACUGGGGCU
rnacentral:rRNA from 1 species